CAUUCGUCAAAGGUAAAACUAAUCCAGCAAGGCCGCCCAGCGUGUCGACGAUCCCGAUAGGAGUCGCGUAUCUCGUUCUCAGGACACGACGGAUGAGCGAUGGUUACCACGCCAAACGCCGAUUUUCCCCGGGUAGCGUUAGUAAGCUGCUCUGUUUUGGACCAGCACCAUCAGCACUGGCCCUCCCUGUAAAUGUAAAAUUACUCCUCGGGUUCAUGACGCCCUAUGCUUUCAGUAUUAACAAAAUUAUUAUGUUGGGAAAAUGUAGUACCAAUGUUGGGCCUUGCCAGACCAGCUUUAAUCUAAAACGAAUUAUCAAGGGGGUCCCCAUAACAACCCCGAUCGUGUUUGGAGCGCUCAAUUAUGGAAC
rnacentral:lncRNA from 1 species